rnacentral:lncRNA from 1 species
CAGACCUUGUAAAAAUGAGAGAGAGGUCUCCAUCUAGACUGGGAAUCCCCGGCCCUGGGGCCAUGGGCUGGUAUCUGUCCGUGGCCUGUUAGGAACCAGGCUGCGCAGCAGGAGGUGAGUGGCUGGAGAGCCAGUGAAGCUUCAUCUGUGUUUACAGCCGCUCCCCAUCACUCGCAUUACUGCCUGAGCUGCACCUCCGGUUGGAUCAGCAGUGGCACUAGAUUCUCAUAGGAGUGCAAACCCUAUUGUGAACUGUACAUGCGAGGGAUUGAGGUUGUGCACUCCUUAUAAGAAUCUAAUGCCUGAUGAUCUGUCGCUGUCUCCCAUAACCCCCAGAUGGGACCAUCUAGUUAUAAGAAAACAAGCUCAGGGUUCCCACUGAUUCUACAUUAUGCUGAGUCAUACCAUUAUUUCAUUAUAUAAUACAAUGUAAUAGUAAUAUAAAUAAAGUGCACAAUAAAUGUAAUCCUCUUGAAUCAUCCCGAAACUAUCUCCCCUCCCUCUGUCCGUGGAAAAGCUAUCUUUACAAAACUGGUCCCUGGUGCAAAAAAGACUGAGGACCACUGAUCCAGACUAGACGCCCAUGGUGGUAACAGCACCAGUUGUGUGAAUUCCACACAAACAAUGAGAAACAUCAAAACAGGACAAGCUGAAGGCAUGGGAAGGACUCUUACAAAUCUUAUUCUUGUUAAGAGCUGUUCACCAAACUGUAGGAGGAGGUCUUUAUUCUUGCAACUCUUUGGACUGGCUCAGUCUGCAGCUUUUAUUAGAAAUCAACGGAAGCCACCAGAACACAGAGCCCUGAAUGAACACUGUGGACCUGGAUCAUCCGACCUGAACUCCAAUGUAGAAGAAAGCCCCUCUGUACGCACCUGCUGACCUGCCUGUCACCACCCUCACAGCUGUGCCGGGACAAUGGCACAGACCCACCCAUUCUAAAGUUACCAUCUGAUAUGUGUGGGCUCAUACAGAAAACAUGCUGUAAUGUGAAGACAUAAAUCAGAUGGAAGAACACAUUGAUGCCAACUUUUUUUUUUUUUUUGAGACAGAGUCUUGCUCUGUCACCCUGCCUGGAGUGCAGUGAUGCGAUCUCGGCUCAAUGCAACCUCUGCCUCCUGGGUUCAAGUGAUUCUCCUGCCUCACCCUCCCGAGUAGCUGGGAUUACAGGUGCCCACCACCAUGCCCAG